rnacentral:rRNA from 1 species
GAAUUUUGGACAAUGGGCGAAAGCCUGAUCCAGCAAUGCCGCGUGCAGGAUGAAGGCCUUCGGGUUGUAAACUGCUUUUGUACGGCACGAAAACCUUUGGGUUAAUAACCUGGAGGCAUGACGGUACCGUAAGCAUAAGCAACGGGUAACCACCGGACGGACACCGCGGUAAUACGUAGGGUGCAAGCGUUAAUCGGAAUUACUGUGCGUAAAGCGUGCGCAGGCGGUUUUGUAAGACAGAGGUGAAAUCCCCGGGCUCAACCUGGGAACUGCCUUUGUGACUGCAAGGCUAGAGUACGGCAGAGGGGGGUGGAAUUCCGCGUGUAGCAGUGAAAUGCGUAGAUAUGCGGAGGAACACCGAUGGCGAAGGCAACCCCCUGGGCCUGUACUGACGCUCAUGCACGAAAGCGUGGGGAGCAAACAGG